rnacentral:rRNA from 1 species
AUUGAACGCUGGCGGCAGGCCUAACACAUGCAAGUCGAACGAGUGGCGGACGGGUGAGUAAUGGCUGGGAAACUGCCUGAUGGAGGGGGAUAACUACUGGAAACGGUAGCUAAUACCGCAUACCAUCAGCUGUGUCAAGAUUGGCUUAGGUUGUUGGUGGGGUAACGGCUCACCAAGGCGACGAUCCCUAGCUGGGCUGAGAGGAUGACCAGCCACACUGGGACUGAGACACGGUCCAGACUCCUACGGGAGGCAGCAGUGGGGAAUAUUCCACAAUGGGCGCAAGCCUGAUGGAGCAAUGCCGCGUGUAUGAAGAAGGCCUUCGGGUUGUAAAGUACUUUUAGCGGUGAGGCGGUACCCGCAGAAGAAGCACCGGCUAACUCCGUGCCAGCAGCCGCGGUAAUAC